CCUAACCUACAAUCAUAGAGGAGACUCAGGAAUGAAGCUGCUGUCAGCUGGACUGAAGGAUCCAUGUUGGAGACUGGACACUCUCAGGGUGGAGCCUGCUGGAGUCCAGUGGUUGCGAGCCAAAGAUCUGAGGAAGGAUUCCUGUCAACUCACAAUUGACACAAACACAGUCAAUAGAUACCUGAAACUGUCUGACAACAACAAGAAGGUGACAUGCAUCUGGGAACGUCAAUCAUAUCCCGAUCAUCCACACAGAUUUGAUCCCAGGUAUCAACUGCUGUGUAGAAAUGGUCUCACUGGUCGCUGUUACUGGGAAGUGGAGUGGAGAGGAAAUGUUUAUAUAUCAGUGAGUUACACAAAAAUCAAAAGGAAAGGAAAAAGUAAAGACGGUUUGUGUGGAUGGAAUGAUCAGUCCUGGAGUCUGUACUGCACUGACGAUGCUCCUCGUUUUGUUAGGCACAAUAAGAUAAGAACAUUCAUCUCCUCCUCCUCCUCAGUCUCUAACAGAGUAGCAGUGUAUGUGGACUGUCCUGCUGGCACUCUGUCCUUCUACAGAGUCUCCUCUGACACUCUGAUCCACCUUCACACCUUUAACUCCACAUUCACUGAACCUGUUUAUCCUGCGUUUGGGUUUUGGUCUCCUGGAUCCUCAGUGUUUGUCUGCUGAGUGUCACCCUGUUAGAGAAACACUCUGGCUGUUGAACAGAUAGUUCAGUCUGUAGAUGUGUGUGUCUUUCACUCAGAGACAAUUUUUCAAUCAGUUAAUGAUUUAAUCUGUUUCAAAUGAUUACUUAUGAAGCUACUAGAGGUGGGGUGAGGCACUGAGGCUCCAAACCCUGUUUCAUUCUAUUGAAGAAGACUGGUUUGAAACACUGUAUGACAUCCCCAUGACGAAUAAUGUUUGAGGCUUCGUACUUCACAAUGAAGACACUGAAAGUAAGGUGACUGAUUCAACCUGGUCUCCCACAAUAAUUUAUAAUUACUCUUGUGUUGAAUUUGGAAUAAACAACAUGUGUGAAUCAUUGGAAAUGUGUAUCUGCUGUUAGAUUUGUAUUGUGAUUGUCAUUUAUGCUUAGAAAUAUCUACUUAUAUAUUCUUAGAGUUUUAUAAUUAGGUGUAGAUUGGUAGAGGUUUGAUCCUUAAUAGUUUGCAAGCUUUGUGUGCAUUCCAGAGCUCUCUGACUUUCACACCCACAUUUUAGGAGCAUGGGAGAGGUCGUACCUUGUCUUAUUGUUUUAUGGUAGGAUAAACGUAUCUAUAUCUGUUUUAGGCUAAGUGCCUUUUGUUUAGAUGGACGGCUCUGGGGAGUCUUCCUGGGGUCACAGUUUGACCCUCAGUACAAUCA